GGUGUGACUGCGUACCUUUUGUAUAAUGGGUCAGCGACUUAUAUUCUGUAGCAAGGUUAACCGUAUAGGGGAGCCGCAGGGAAACCGAGUCUUAACUGGGCGUUAAGUUGCAGGGUAUAGACCCGAAACCCGGUGAUCUAGCCAUGGGCAGGUUGAAGGUUGGGUAACACUAACUGGAGGACCGAACCGACUAAUGUUGAAAAAUUAGCGGAUGACUUGUGGCUGGGGGUGAAAGGCCAAUCAAACCGGGAGAUAGCUGGUUCUCCCCGAAAGCUAUUUAGGUAGCGCCUCGUGAACUCAUCUUCGGGGGUAGAGCACUGUUUCGGCUAGGGGGUCAUCCCGACUUACCAACCCGAUGCAAACUACGAAUACCGAAGAAUGUUAUCACGGGAGACACACGGCGGGUGCUAACGUCCGUCGUGAAGAGGGAAACAACCCAGACCGCCAGCUAAGGUCCCAAAGUCAUGGUUAAGUGGGAAACGAUGUGGGAAGGCACAGACAGCCAGGAUGUUGGCUUAGAAGCAGCCAUCAUUUAAAGAAAGCGUAAUAGCUCACUGGUCGAGUCGGCCUGCGCGGAAGAUGUAACGGGGCUAAACCAUGCACCGAAGCUGCGGCAGCGACACUAUGUGUUGUUGGGUAGGGGAGCGUUCUGUAAGCCUGCGAAGGUGACCUGUGAGGGUUGCUGGAGGUAUCAGAAGUGCGAAUGCUGACAUAAGUAACGAUAAAGCGGGUGAAAAGCCCGCUCGCCGGAAGACCAAGGGUUCCUGUCCAACGUUAAUCGGGGCAGGGUGAGUCGACCCCUAAGGCGAGGCCGAAAGGCGUAGUCGAUGGGAAACAGGUUAAUAUUCCUGUACUUGGUGUUACUGCGAAGGGGGGACGGAGAAGGCUAUGUUAGCCGGGCGACGGUUGUCCCGGUUUAAGCAUGUAGGCUGGUUAUCCAGGCAAAUCCGGAUAAUCAAGGCUGAGGUGUGAUGACGAGGCACUACGGUGCUGAAGUAACAAAUGCCCUGCUUCCAGGAAAAGCCUCUAAGCAUCAGGUAACAUCAAAUCGUACCCCAAACCGACACAGGUGGUCAGGUAGAGAAUACCAAGGCGCUUGAGAGAACUCGGGUGAAGGAACUAGGCAAAAUGGUGCCGUAACUUCGGGAGAAGGCACGCUGGUGUGUAGGUGAAGUCCCUGCGGAUGGAGCUGAGACCAGUCGAAGAUACCAGCUGGCUGCAACUGUUUAUUAAAAACACAGCACUGUGCAAACACGAAAGUGGACGUAUACGGUGUGACGCCUGCCCGGUGCCGGAAGGUUAAUUGAUGGGGUUAUCCGUAAGGAGAAGCUCUUGAUCGAAGCCCCGGUAAACGGCGGCCGUAACUAUAACGGUCCUAAGGUAGCGAAAUUCCUUGUCGGGUAAGUUCCGACCUGCACGAAUGGCGUAAUGAUGGCCAGGCUGUCUCCACCCGAGACUCAGUGAAAUUGAACUCGCUGUGAAGAUGCAGUGUACCCGCGGCAAGACGGAAAGACCCCGUGAACCUUUACUAUAGCUUGACACUGAACAUUGAGCCUUGAUGUGUAGGAUAGGUGGGAGGCUUUGAAGCGUGGACGCCAGUCUGCGUGGAGCCAACCUUGAAAUACCACCCUUUAAUGUUUGAUGUUCUAACGUUGGCCCCUUAUCGGGGUUGCGGACAGUGUCUGGUGGGUAGUUUGACUGGGGCGGUCUCCUCCCAAAGCGUAACGGAGGAGCACGAAGGUUAGCUAAUCCUGGUCGGACAUCAGGAGGUUAGUGCAAUGGCAUAAGCUAGCUUGACUGCGAGCGUGACGGCGCGAGCAGGUGCGAAAGCAGGUCAUAGUGAUCCGGUGGUUCUGAAUGGAAGGGCCAUCGCUCAACGGAUAAAAGGUACUCCGGGGAUAACAGGCUGAUACCGCCCAAGAGUUCAUAUCGACGGCGGUGUUUGGCACCUCGAUGUCGGCUCAUCACAUCCUGGGGCUGAAGUAGGUCCCAAGGGUAUGGCUGUUCGCCAUUUAAAGUGGUACGCGAGCUGGGUUUAGAACGUCGUGAGACAGUUCGGUCCCUAUCUGCCGUGGGCGCUGGAGAAUUGAGGGGGGCUGCUCCUAGUACGAGAGGACCGGAGUGGACGCAUCACUGGUGUUCGGGUUGUCAUGCCAAUGGCACUGCCCGGUAGCUAAAUGCGGAAGAGAUAAGUGCUGAAAGCAUCUAAGCACGAAACUUGCCCCGAGAUGAGUUCUCCCUGAGACU
rnacentral:rRNA from 1 species